CCUACGGGGGGCAGCAGUGAGGAAUAUUGGUCAAUGGCCGAGAGGCUGAACCAGCCAAGUCGCGUGCGGGAAGACGGCCCUACGGGUUGUACACCUCUUUUGUCGGGGAGCAAAGCGAGUCACGUGUGACUCAUUGAGAGUAACCGAAGAAAAAGCAUCGGCUAACUCCGUGCCAGCAGCCGCGGUAAUACGGAGGAAGCGAGUGUUAUCCGGAUUUAUUGGGUUUAAAGGGUGGGCAGGCGGAGGUGCAAGUCAGCGGUAAAAUUGCGGGGCUCAACCCCGUACUGCCGUUGAAACUGCAUCCCUUGAGUGCGCGAGAAGUAUGCGGAAUGCGUGGUGUAGCGGUGAAAUGCAUAGAUAUCACGCAGAACUCCGAUUGCGAAGGCAGCAUACCGGCGCGCAACUGACGCUCAUGCACGAAAGCGUGGGUAUCGAACAGGAUUAGAUACCCGGGUAGUC
rnacentral:rRNA from 1 species